rnacentral:lncRNA from 1 species
CCGAGCCGUAGCCGCAGCCCCAGCCAGAGCCGGAGUCGCAGUCGCAGCCAUAGCCGCAGCCACAGCCGCAGUCACAGUCACAGCCGCAGCCGUAGCCAUAGUCAGAGCCACUCACCGUCGCCCCCAAGGGAGAAGCCGGCCAGGCCAGCAGCAUCCCCUGCCGUGGGCGAGAAGCUGAAAAAGACCGAACCUGCCGCUGGUAAAGAGACAGGAGCUGCCAAAGUCACCCAAGCUGACGCCACAAGAGAGGCUAAAGCUGAGGAUGCAGAAGGCGCUGAACAGGCAGUUCAAGGCGGAUAAGAAAGCGGCUCAGGAGAAGAUGAUACAGCAGGAACAUGAGCGGCAGGAGCGGGAAGACGAGCUUCGAGCCAUGGCCCGCAAGAUCCGGAUGAAGGAGCGGGAACGCAGGGAGAAGGAGCGAGAGGAGUGGGAACGCCAGUACAGCCGCCAGAGCCGCUCACCCUCGCCUCGUUACAGUCGAGAAUAUAGCUCCUCCCGAAGGCGCUCGAGGUCCCGGUCUCGAAGCCCCCAUUACCGACAUUAGGCAGGGGCAGGGGCAGGGUGCUAGGCCCAAGCUGUGAUGCUGGUUUCUCUAGUGAAAUAAAGCAGAUGUUAUUUAAUGCUCUUUAUUUGGCCUCUGUCCUUUGUGUGGCUGGUGUGGCCCUCAAAUCUCUGCCCACAGCUAUGGGGGACUCAGGCUUACAGGCCAGGUGUCAGUGUCACCGCAGCCACCUCAGCCUGAACUACCAUGGGUCACACACCCCGCCUAGAGCCUGGUGAGGCCUGCUCAGCAGGCAGGGGGCCUGAUCCAGUGGGAAAGGGCUCAGACCUGCC